AUGGCGGCAGGGCUGCCUCAGUCCCACUGUGGGCUCUUCCAACACCUGCUGUUCUCCCUCUGGGCCCUGCAGGGUGGCCUAGUCACCGGCAACCCUGGAGUGAAAGUGACCCAGCACCCACCAGUGGUCAGCAAACAGCAGGGUGAGACCCUGGAGCUGAGCUGCGGCGUCAACCAAGCAAACUGGUUUUUCUAUUGGUACCGGCAGCAACCUGGAGAGCCAAACCUACAAUACUUUGGGACUUUCAGCACCUAUAGUAGCGAUUUAGAGGACGACACAAAAAGUAGCCUCGAUAGUCGGCUGAGUGGCAAACGGAAAGACAACGAAACAACUUUGUACCUAACAGGCCUCCAGCUUAACGACACAGGGCUGUAUCUCUGUGCUUCUAAAGACACAAUGAUUGUAGCAGCAUCAGGAGCUGUCACAAAACUGACUACCAAACAAUAG